AUAAGUGUCAUAGAUCAAUAUGCUUUUCUGCUUGCAGAAAAAGCAUUUUGACUUUAUGACACGCUGAAACAUGAGGAAGUAGCUGUUUUUGAAAAAAACAAGCGGAUUCCGAAUGUUUCAAGGAUUGUGAGAGUUUCGUAAGAAACGAAGCAAUCCGUAU
rnacentral:sRNA from 1 species